UUGGGAUCUGAUUGUCGGUCUCUAACAGAGUAAUAAUCCGACCAGCCAGUUCAUUCUCUAUCCUCAUUAUUCCACUGAGGAGAUUAAUUUAAUCUUGGAUUGUAGUUGGAGCUGAGACUGAAACAAAAGAAACCCAUCCAUAUAACAUAUGGGAGACAGAAGACCCCUGGGCUCCGAGUUCCGGUGCACUGGUGGAAUCAUCCAGUAGAAGACAAAGAUAGCCAGUUCUCCAGCCAUUCAGCUGCAGGAACCAAAAAGAGAGCUCUGAGAUCAGGUGUUGAGAUGAUGGAGAGAGGGGGAUGCAACCACCACACCACUCUCCAUUGUUGACCAUCUUCUCCUAGAGCUUCAUUAACGGGUAUGCUGCAGUCACCAGCUCUGCCUCCUAACCCUACGGCUCACCGACCUUCCAAGGCACUGAGGGAACAAGGACAGAGGGAACAAGGACAGGGGGAACAAGGACAGAAGGAACAAGGGCGGAGGGCUGGAUAACUAACAUCAGGGUUGACUUUCACUCUCUUGUCCCCUGAAUAUCCUUCCUGACUUCCCUGGGAUGGCACCAUGCGUUGAGGCUCUUCCGGGGUUCUAUUUAGACGGUAGAGGUGACCUGCUCCACAGCUCACCUAAUGUUGUCCUGGACCAACCCUAGGGGGUCUGGGUUGCUUGGGGUGGUGUUUAUCUCUCUCCUGACUCCUAAGGAGGUGUGGAACAAAAAAGAGAGGCAUAGUUACCAAUGGGAGGAUCUCUAUUCAGCUCGGUGAGGCUUUAAAAACAGGCUAUUCUCCAAGUCCUGAACAUUGCUAUCGGAGAUCUAUAUAAUAUAAAGCAAUUUAAGAGAAUCAUAUAAUAAUAAAUUCCCCACCCACUAUUGGCUCAAUACAGAGGGAGUGGAUUUCAGUUUUUAUGAGUAGAGAAAUAUAUUGUUAGCCUUGUAUAGCCUUUAAACCUCUUUAGCUCUCUCUCUCUAGCC
ensembl:lncRNA